rnacentral:lncRNA from 1 species
GGCCCUUGAGGCCGUCUAAGGCCUUUGCACCCGCACUCCGGAGGCAGUCAGCCUGGGGUCCCCCGCCCCAUCCUCUAGACAGCCCCGGAAAGGAGAGGGCGAGAUGUGAAACUCAGGCGGACUGCCCUCCGCAGCCCCUGGGACCCUGACCGCCUCACCCCUGCCCGGCCGUGUCUCCCAGCACGGGGCAGCUCGCCGCCUGCAGCUCCCUGGGCUCCUGCAGCUCCCUGGGCUCCUGCAGCUCCCUGGGCUCGGAACACCUUUCCCUUCCCUGCCUGGGACCAGCGCUUUCCAAAAGCCCACGGAGUCACCUCCUGGAAGGCCCGCGGAUGCCCGGCCAGCAACUCUACAGGGAGACCCCCGCGCUCUCCUGAUGAGGCAGGCCCUGUUAUUAUCCCUGCAUCAUCAAUGAGGAAACUGAGGCAGAAAGAUGCAGUCACUUGCUCGAGGUCACAUGCCCACCGUGUCAACCAUCACAGCUGAUGUGCAACACAUGCAUCGAGGAGUGGCCGGCACCUCCGGGGUCACGGGUCAAGAUGGUCUAUGAAGAGACAGCCGUUGGCAGAAUGGGCCAGAGAAUCCGGAAACAGCACCGACUGGCCCUGCCUGGGGGAGUUCGGCGUCUCCAAACCCUGGGCCCAGUUCACUGCCACCGAGUGGCUGCACCCCUGGGGGCAGCUACACAGAACCCCUUCCGAGUAUGCCGAGCGAUGUACGUGAGAUUGUUCAUGGUGGCCCCUUCUCUUCUCCUUGCCUGAUGUACUGGGGCCCAUCUCAAUGUCACCCAUCGAUAGAGAACUAGUUCAGGUAACUGAGGCAAUUGCCAAGUGACAAACAGACCCCUCUGUCGUGUGCUUUGAAAAGGGGCGCAAAGGGUGGACAGAAUGAGAUGGUAAAAGACAUCAUCACGCUGCCCAGGAUGCCAUGCAAUUUAAAACAUGAAUUUUCUAUUUCUGGGAUUUCACAUUUAGUAUUUUCAGACCCCAUUUGACCCCGGGUAACUGAAACUAUGGACCACAAAACCACAGAUGGGGGGGCGCAGGGGACUCCUGUACAUUGUUUCAUGAAAGGUAAAGACGCAGCAGGACAGGACGCGGGGCGCACGCCUGCGAUCCAGCACUCGGGAGGCUGAGGCAGCAGGAGCACAAGUUCCAGCCCAACCCAGGCAACAGCAACUUAGUGAGACCCUGUCUUACAAUGAAAGGCGGGGAGGGGCUGGGGACGUGCCUCAGCGUGAAGGACAUGUGUUCAAUCCCCAACACUCUUUACAAAUUUUAAGAAAGCAAACUACUAGCAUUUGUGUACAAAACAGCUGCAGCGACUACGGGAGUACGUUUGCUUCUAGAUUCGUGAGAACCCUGGGUAACCAGAGACAUCAGGGUGCCGUGGACAGGGACUUGAUGGCCAGGGACCGGGUGGGAGGUUUUCUGUGUCCGGAGGUUUGUUCCAGGGCCUCUCCAUACCAAGUCCUUUAAUGAAAUGGCUGUGUAUUUGCCCAUACGCGCACGCAUCCUCCCAUGAGGCGGAGCAACUUUGAGUCAUUUCCAGAUGACUUACAGUGCCUCAGACAAGGCAAGUGCUAAGUACUUGUUACUCAGUAUUGACACAGGAAAGCGACUGGAUGUGCUCAGAACAGACGAAAAAAAUUCGUUCAGGAUUUUCAACCACAGAUGCAGAGCCCAGGAGUGGGACGGCAGCUGUACCACCCUGCAACGCCUUUGGGGUCUUGAAUCACAGCAGCGGACUCUUUUUCUUUUCUUUGAAAAUUUUGUUAUUCUAUGUACUGACCAUUUAAAACACAUUUAAUUUUUAAUUUUAGAACUUUGCAAAUAGCCAGGCACUGUGGCACUUGUCUGUAGUCCCAGCUAUGCAGGAGGCUGAGGCAGGAGGAUAGUGAGUCUGAGGAUAGCCUGGGUGAUUUAGCAAGACACUGUCUCAAAAAUAAAUAGCUGGGGGCAGGAGAUUUAGCUCAGUGGUUCUGACACCUGCCUGGAAAGUACAAGAUCCUGCCUUCAAUUCCCGUACCAAAAAUAAAUAAGCAAACAAAUAAAUAAAUACCUAGGCGUGGUGGUGCGCACCUGUAAUCCCAGCACUCGGGAGGCUGAGGCAGGAGGAUCACUUCUCGUGUGAGACCAGCCUGGGGUAUAUAGUGAGGCUACACUUAUGCUACAUACCAAGUUCAAGACCAGCCUGGACUACACAGCAAGACCCUAUCUCAAAAACUAAUAAGUAAAUAAGGGCUGGGGAUGUAGCUCAAUGCAGGUCCUGGGUUCAACCUCUAGUACUGCAAAAAAUUAAAAUUAAAAAAGAAAAGGC